UGAAAUGCGAUAAUUAAUGUGAAUUGCAUUAUCUCGUGAAUCAUCGAGUCUUUGAACGCAUCUUGCACUUUUCAGGUCUCCUGGAAAGUAUACUUGUUUGAGUAUCAUAAACAUUAAAUCCUCUAUCAGAGGGAAUUGAGGCGUCAUGGCGUUAUAGCCGUGUGCCUUUUAAUUGAUGAGUCAGCAAUCCCAUCGAAACGAUGGGAGCCUUGCACAACCAAAUGUGAGAUACAUAUCGCACAAAGUAGUACGUGAUGAGGUCAACGCCGGCGCGCCCAGAAGCAACAGCAGCAACAACAACUUGGCUUUCAUAGCUAGCUUUCGUUGCUGCUUCGCUUCACCACCUGAAUAUUGAUCUCAAAUCAAGUAAGACUACCCGCUGAACUUAA
rnacentral:misc_RNA from 1 species